CGCCGCAAAUCCCCAUUAUGAAAUCACUAUUAAUACAGAAAACGCUACAAAUUGAGAGAGUCAGCAUAUGAAGUGCACUUAUUAUGUUGUGCGCUCGAACCUCGUACGAACGACAAAUACUUGACAAAAUACUCUGCCAAUUGUGUCGGAGUACCGCCCUCAAUUGUUCGAGAUGAAAAAUGGUCUAUUCGGAUUGUUCGCGAACAAAUGCGUGCCGUGCGGGUCAUUACGCUUUGUUUUAGGAAUAAGUAUGACAAAAAAAUUCAACGUAAAAAGCUGUGAUUUUCGCUUCCGCCCUCUUGAGUCUGGUGGCAGAAACGUACACAGUAGAGUCUCAGGUACAAGAAAAAGCAUUUAUUUGUGGAAAAACACGUUGUAUAGAAUUUGUCAGUAACAAAAUGAGAAUAAUAUCACUUUCAUUCAGUAUAGAGUUACUGUACCCCACGAAACAUUGAUAUACAAACAUAUGUCCUAGUGGCUUGGACAAAC